rnacentral:tRNA from 1 species
UCCCUGGUGGUCCAGUGGUUAAGACUCUGCACCUCCAUUGCAGGGGGCAUGGGUUUGAUGCCUGACUGGGGAA